AGAGUUUGAUCCUGGCUCAGGAUGAACGCUAGCUACAGGCUUAACACAUGCAAGUCGAGGGGCAGCAUGGUCUUAGCUUGCUAAGGCCGAUGGCGACCGGCGCACGGGUGAGUAACACGUAUCCAACCUGCCGUCUACUCUUGGACAGCCUUCUGAAAGGAAGAUUAAUACAAGAUGGCAUCAUGAGUUCACAUGUUCACAUGAUUAAAGGUAUUCCGGUAGACGAUGGGGAUGCGUUCCAUUAGAUAGUAGGCGGGGUAACGGCCCACCUAGUCUUCGAUGGAUAGGGGUUCUGAGAGGAAGGUCCCCCGCAUUGGAACUGAGACACGGUCCAAACUCCUACGGGAGGCAGCAGUGAGGAAUAUUGGUCAAUGGGCGAGAGCCUGAACCAGCCAAGUAGCGUGAAGGAUGACUGCCCUAUGGGUUGUAAACUUCUUUUAUAAAGGAAUAAAGUCGGGUAUGCAUACCCGUUUGCAUGUACUUUAUGAAUAAGGAUCGGCUAACUCCGUGCCAGCAGCCGCGGUAAUACGGAGGAUCCGAGCGUUAUCCGGAUUUAUUGGGUUUAAAGGGAGCGUAGAUGGAUGUUUAAGUCAGUUGUGAAAGUUUGCGGCUCAACCGUAAAAUUGCAGUUGAUACUGGAUAUCUUGAGUGCAGUUGAGGCAGGCGGAAUUCGUGGUGUAGCGGUGAAAUGCUUAGAUAUCACGAAGAACUCCGAUUGCGAAGGCAGCCUGCUAAGCUGCAACUGACAUUGAGGCUCGAAAGUGUGGGUAUCAAACAGGAUUAGAUACCCUGGUAGUCCACACGGUAAACGAUGAAUACUCGCUGUUUGCGAUAUACAGCAAGCGGCCAAGCGAAAGCGUUAAGUAUCCCACCUGGGGAGUACGCCGGCAACGGUGAAACUCAAAUGAAUUGACGG
rnacentral:rRNA from 1 species